rnacentral:rRNA from 1 species
GGAUCCAGACUUUGAUCAUGGCUCAGGAUGAACGCUAGCUACAGGCUUAACACAUGCAAGUCGAGGGGCAGCGGGAUUGAAGCUUGCUUCAAUUGCCGGCGACCGGCGCACGGGUGAGUAACGCGUAUCCAACCUUCCGUACACUCAGGGAUAGCCUUUCGAAAGAAAGAUUAAUACCUGAUGGUAUCUUAAGCACACAUGUAAUUAAGAUUAAAGAUUUAUCGGUGUACGAUGGGGAUGCGUUCCAUUAGGUAGUAGGCGGGGUAACGGCCCACCUAGCCAACGAUGGAUAGGGGUUCUGAGAGGAAGGUCCCCCACAUUGGAACUGAGACACGGUCCAAACUCCUACGGGAGGCAGCAGUGAGGAAUAUUGGUCAAUGGACGAGAGUCUGAACCAGCCAAGUAGCGUGAAGGAUGAAGGUCCUACGGAUUGUAAACUUCUUUUAUAAGGGAAUAAACCCUCCCACGUGUGGGAGCUUGUAUGUACCUUAUGAAUAAGCAUCGGCUAACUCCGUGCCAGCAGCCGCGGUAAUACGGAGGAUGCGAGCGUUAUCCGGAUUUAUUGGGUUUAAAGGGAGCGCAGACGGGUCGUUAAGUCAGCUGUGAAAGUUUGGGGCUCAACCUUAAAAUUGCAGUUGAUACUGGCGUCCUUGAGUGCGGUUGAGGUGUGCGGAAUUCGUGGUGUAGCGGUGAAAUGCUUAGAUAUCACGAAGAACUCCGAUUGCGAAGGCAGCACACUAAUCCGUAACUGACGUUCAUGCUCGAAAGUGUGGGUAUCAAACAGGAUUAGAUACCCUGGUAGUCCACACGGUAAACGAUGGAUACUCGCUGUUGGCGAUAUACUGUCAGCGGCUUAGCGAAAGCGUUAAGUAUCCCACCUGGGGAGUACGCCGGCAACGGUGCAACUCAAAUGAAUUGACGG